GACGAACGCUGGCGGCGUGCCUAAUACAUGCAAGUAGAACGCUGAAGAGAGGAGCUUGCUCUUCUUGGAUGAGUUGCGAACGGGUGAGUAACGCGUAGGUAACCUGCCUGGUAGCGGGGGAUAACUAUUGGAAACGAUAGUUAAUACCGCAUAAGAGUAGAUGUUGCAUGACAUUUGCUUAAAAGGUGCAAAUGCAUCACUACCAGAUGGACCUGCGUUGUAUUAGCUAGUUGGUGAGGUAACGGCUCACCAAGGCAACGAUACAUAGCCGACCUGAGAGGGUGAUCGGCCACACUGGGACUGAGACACGGCCCAGACUCCUACGGGAGGCAGCAGUAGGGAAUCUUCGGCAAUGGACGGAAGUCUGACCGAGCAACGCCGCGUGAGUGAAGAAGGUUUUCGGAUCGUAAAGCUCUGUUGUAAGAGAAGAACGAGUGUGAGAGUGGAAAGUUCACACUGUGACGGUAUCUUACCAGAAAGGGACGGCUAACUACGUGCCAGCAGCCGCGGUAAUACGUAGGUCCCGAGCGUUGUCCGGAUUUAUUGGGCGUAAAGCGAGCGCAGGCGGUUAGAUAAGUCUGAAGUUAAAGGCUGUGGCUUAACCAUAGUACGCUUUGGAAACUGUUUAACUUGAGUGCAAGAGGGGAGAGUGGAAUUCCAUGUGUAGCGGUGAAAUGCGUAGAUAUAUGGAGGAACACCGGUGGCGAAAGCGGCUCUCUGGCUUGUAACUGACGCUGAGGCUCGAAAGCGUGGGGAGCAAACAGG
rnacentral:rRNA from 1 species